GAUGAAGAACGUAACGAAAUGCGAUAAGUAGUGUGAAUUGCAGAAUUCAGUGAAUCAUCGAAUCUUUGAACGCACAUUGCGCCCCUUGGUAUCCCGAGGGGCAUGCCUGUUCGAGCGUCAUUUCACCACUCAAGCCUGGCUUGGUGUUGGGCGACGUCCCCUUUGGGGACGCGCCUCGAAACGCUCGGCGGCGUGGCACCGGCUUUAAGCGUAGCAGAAUCUUUCGCUUUGGAAGUCGGGGCCCCGUCUGCCGGAAGACCUACUCGCAAGGUUGACCUCGGAUCAGGCAGGGAUACCCGCUGAACUUAAGCAUAUCAAUAAGCGGAGGA
rnacentral:misc_RNA from 1 species